rnacentral:rRNA from 1 species
CCUACGGGAGGCUGCAGUGAGGAAUAUUGGUCAAUGGACGCAAGUCUGAACCAGCCAAGCCGCGUGCAGGAAGACGGCCCUAUGAGUUGUAAACUGCUUUUGUACGAGGGUAAAGGCAGAUACGAGUACCUGUAUGAAAGUACCGGACGAAUAAGGAUCGGCUAACUCCGUGCCAGCAGCCGCGGUAAUACGGAGGAUGCAAGCGUUAUCCGGAUUUAUUGGGUUUAAAGGGUGCGUAGGCGGCCGGUAAAGUAAGCGGUAAAAUCCCGGGGCUCAACUCCGGAGUGCCGUUGAAACUGGUCGGCUGGAGAGUGUUAGCGGUAGGCGGAAUGUGUGGUGUAGCGGUGAAAUGCUUAGAGAUCAUGCAGAACACCGAUUGCGAAGGCAGCUUACCGGGGUACUUCUGACGUUGAGGCACGAAAGCGUGGGGAGCGAACAGGAUUAGAUACCCUUGUAGUC